AAAAGUGCCUCAGUUCUCCUGAAGCUCAACUUUGUAAAAUAUUCAUGAAGAUAAAAUUCUACUGUAAUGAGCUGUUGGGUCCCAAACACUAGUGAAGAGAGAG